AAUGAACGCUGGCGGAAUGCUUUACACAUGCAAGUCGAGCGGCAGCGCGGGGGCAACCCUGGCGGCGAGCGGCGAACGGGUGAGUAAUGCAUCGGAACGUACCCAGUCGUGGGGGAUAACGUGGCGAAAGUCACGCUAAUACCGCAUACGUCCUGAGGGAGAAAGCAGGGGAUCGCAAGACCUUGCGCGAUUGGAGCGGCCGAUGUCUGAUUAGCUAGUUGGUGGGUAAAGGCCUACCAAGGCGACGAUCAGUAGCUGGUCUGAGAGGACGACCAGCCACACUGGGACUGAGACACGGCCCAGACUCCUACGGGAGGCAGCAGUGGGGAAUAUUGGACAAUGGGGGCAACCCUGAUCCAGCGACGCCGCGUGUGUGAAGAAGGCCUGCGGGUUGUAAAGCACUUUUAGUGGGGAGGAAGGUCUGCGACCUAACACGUCGUGGAAUUGACUUAACCCACAGAAAAAGCACCGGCUAACUCUGUGCCAGCAGCCGACGG
rnacentral:rRNA from 1 species